UGAAAUCGGAACCCCACGAAAAUGAUGAAACAGCGAAACAAAGAAACACCGCCCCUUCACCACCAAACGUCAACAACUCUACAGACAACUUAUAACAAAGUAGAACGAACAAAACAGUAACCAAACUUAAAUGCAAUAUAACAAGAUGAAUUAAUCCACCACAAAUCCAACGAAAACAAACGUAAAAGAUGAAAAAUGCAGGAGCAAUAAGG
rnacentral:lncRNA from 1 species